GACGAACGCUAGCGGCGUGCUUAACACAUGCAAGUCGAACGGAGCUGUUUAUUUCGGUAGAUAGCUUAGUGGCAAACGGGUGAGUAACGCGUAGGCAACCUGCCCUUAGGAUGGGGACAACGGCCCGAAAGGACCGCUAAUACCGAAUGCACUCUAACUUCCGCAUGGAAGAAAGAGGAAAGAUGGUGCAAGCCAUCGCCGAAGGAAGGGCCUGCGUCUGAUUAGCCAGUUGGUGAGGUAACGGCUCACCAAAGCGACGAUCAGUAGCCGGUCUGAGAGGAUGAACGGCCACAAUGGGACUGAGACACGGCCCAUACUCCUACGGGAGGCAGCAGUGGGGAAUCUUCCGCAAUGGGCGCAAGCCUGACGGAGCAACGCCGCGUGAGUGAAGAAGGUCUUCGGAUCGUAAAGCUCUGUUGUUGGGGACGAAAGGGUAGACGAGGCAAUGCGUCUACUAAGACGGU
rnacentral:rRNA from 1 species